GAAUGAGUUUACAUAGCCUGGGGGGGUGACGUUUUUUUGUUUUUUUUUUAGGACUAGACCCCAGCUAUAUUUAACUCCUAAGUUAUUUGGUUCAAACAAAGGGAUUGGUGUGGCUAAACAUUAGGUACCUUUUGAUAUUCUAAAAUCUCCGGGGGGCUGGCAUCUAGAUGCUGGGGUGGGGAGGUCUCGACAUCGCUGGGCUGAUUGACUUUUUAAAACCCUACAGCAUCUGUUUUAGACCCUAAAACAUAAAUUAUGUUUUGACAUGUUGUUAAUGAUUCGUAAGUGGCCGUAAGACAAAGACACACUUUUUUGUUUGGGGGUCGGCCUCUGUUUUGACGUAUAUUGUAAAGAGAGAGAGAGAGAGAGCCUUGAGCGCAGACGCCUGGCCAUUUCUGAACACACACCCCGCCCCGUUUUCUUUGUUUUGAAACACACACAUACGCAUACACUCCAGCACACGCACGCACACACACACGCGCGCGCACAUGGCUUUUUCUGCAAGUUUUUUUCUCCGGGGGCAUGCUUGGUGAUAGAAGUUAAGGACUUAUUCCUAUCGUUAGAAGAUAUAGGUCCUGGUUAGCCCCUGACCAUUAUCCGAUCGCUAAGACGCUUGCACACUCCCUCAAAGCUCCGUAAGUUUUCCCUCCAUGGGUAGAUAAUCCGUCCGUCAUGUAAAUCCUGGGGUAUGCACCCAGCUUUAAUGAAUAAGAUGGGUAGAAAAUGAAUCUGUUUAAGUCAUAAGUAAAGGCCUUUCAUAAAGAGGCUGUCAUGAUUGACUGUGGCCCAUAUUUAACACGUAUUGCAUGUUACCUAAGACUAUUGUUGUACAUUGAAUAUCCACUAGCAGAUUUGUGUAGCAUGCAUCUCCACUAUAUCGGUCAUGUUCCUGUGGUCUUUUUAAAAGUUAAUAAACCUGUGUGUAAAAUGUACACUUUUGUUUCACUGUAGAUUUGUUUAAGCCCACCUAGAAACACCUGAUUUAUCCCACAGCAUUAAGGAAUAAGCUGUGUAUAAAAAUAUUCUGUUUAAGUCCUAAGUAAAGGCCUUUCCUAAAGAGGCUGUCAUGAUUGACUGUGGCCCAUAUUUAACACGUAUUGCUUGUUACAGAAGACCCCUGUUGUACAUUGAAUAUCCAAUAGCCGAUUUUUGGAGCAUCUCCACUAUAUCUGUCAUGUUACUGUGGUCUUUUUAAAAGUCAAUAAACAUGUGUGUAAAAUGUACACUUUUGUUUCACUGUAGAUUGUUUAAGCCCACCUAGAAACACCUGAUUUAUCCCACAGCAUCAAUGAAUAAGCUGCGUAUAAAAUUAUUCUGUUUAAGUCAUAAGUAAAGGCCUUUCAUAAAGAGGCUGUCAUGAUUGACUGUGGCCCAUAUUUAACACGUAUUGCUUGUUACAGAAGACCCCUGUUGUACAUUGAAUAUCCAAUAGCCGAUUUUUGGAGCAUCUCCACUAUAUCUGUCAUGUUACUGUGGUCUUUUUAAAAGUCAAUAAACAUGUGUGUAAAAUGUACACUUUUGUUUCACUGUAGAUUUGUUUAAGCCCACCUAGAAACACCUGAUUUAUCCCACAGCAUUAAGGAAUAAGCUGUGUAUAAAAAUAUUCUGUUUAAGUCCUAAGUAAAGGCCUUUCCUAAAGAGGCUGUCAUGAUUGACUGUGGCCCAUAUUUAACACGUAUUGCAUGUUACCUAAGACUAUUGUUGUACAUUGAAUAUCCACUAGCAGAUUUGUGUAGCAUGCAUCUCCACUAUAUCGGUCAUGUUCCUGUGGUCUUUUUAAAAGUUAAUAAACCUGUGUGUAAAAUGUACACUUUUGUUUCACUGUAGAUUUGUUUAAGCCCACCUAGAAACACCUGAUUUAUCCCACAGCAUUAAGGAAUAAGCUGUGUAUAAAAAUAUUCUGUUUAAGUCCUAAGUAAAGGCCUUUCCUAAAGAGGCUGUCAUGAUUGACUGUGGCCCAUAUUUAACACGUAUUGCUUGUUACAGAAGACCCCUGUUGUACAUUGAAUAUCCAAUAGCCGAUUUUUGGAGCAUCUCCACUAUAUCUGUCAUGUUACUGUGGUCUUUUUAAAAGUCAAUAAACAUGUGUGUAAAAUGUACACUUUUGUUUCACUGUAGAUUGUUUAAGCCCACCUAGAAACACCUGAUUUAUCCCACAGCAUCAAUGAAUAAGCUGCGUAUAAAAUUAUUCUGUUUAAGUCAUAAGUAAAGGCCUUUCAUAAAGAGGCUGUCAUGAUUGACUGUGGCCCAUAUUUAACACGUAUUGCUUGUUACAGAAGACCCCUGUUGUACAUUGAAUAUCCAAUAGCCGAUUUUUGGAGCAUCUCCACUAUAUCUGUCAUGUUACUGUGGUCUUUUUAAAAGUCAAUAAACAUGUGUGUAAAAUGUACACUUUUGUUUCACUGUAGAUUUGUUUAAGCCCACCUAGAAACACCUGAUUUAUCCCACAGCAUUAAGGAAUAAGCUGUGUAUAAAAAUAUUCUGUUUAAGUCCUAAGUAAAGGCCUUUCCUAAAGAGGCUGUCAUGAUUGACUGUGGCCCAUAUUUAACACGUAUUGCUUGUUACAGAAGACCCCUGUUGUACAUUGAAUAUCCAAUAGCCGAUUUUUGGAGCAUCUCCACUAUAUCUGUCAUGUUACUGUGGUCUUUUUAAAAGUCAAUAAACAUGUGUGUAAAAUGUACACUUUUGUUUCACUGUAGAUUGUUUAAGCCCCCCUAGAAACACCUGAUUUAUCCCACAGCAUCAAUGAAUAAGCUGCGUAUAAAAUUAUUCUGUUUAAGUCAUAAGUAAAGGCCUUUCAUAAAGAGGCUGUCAUGAUUGACUGUGGCCCAUAUUUAACACGUAUUGCUUGUUACAGAAGACCCCUGUUGUACAUUGAAUAUCCAAUAGCCGAUUUUUGGAGCAUCUCCACUAUAUCUGUCAUGUUACUGUGGUCUUUUUAAAAGUCAAUAAACAUGUGUGUAAAAUGUA